AAGACUAUAGACCUGCGGAGUACCUGCGGAAGGAUCAUUACAUGGCGGAGAAGGUGGGCAACCUGGCCAACAUCCAGGUUGUGAUGCCUUCACGCUCUUCCACCCUUGUCUAUUUGCACCUUCUGUCGUUCCCUCGGCGGGUUUCGACCCGCCGGCGGCAACAUUGAAAAACCCUUUUUGCAGUUAGCAUUCAAUUCUUCUGAUCAAAUAUUAAAUCAUUACAACUUUCAACAAUGGAUC
rnacentral:misc_RNA from 1 species